GAACGCGAAGGGACUUCGGUCCUGAGUAGAGUGGCAGACGGGUGAGUAGCGCGUGGGUGACCUACCUUCGAGUGGGGGAUAACGUCCCGAAAGGGGCGCUAAUACCGCAUAACAUCCUGCUUUUGGAUGGGUGGAGAUCAAAGCCGGGGACCGCAAGGCCUGGCGCUUGAAGAGGGGCCCGCGUCCGAUUAGCUAGUUGGUGGGGUAAUGGCUCACCAAGGCAACGAUCGGUAGCCGGCCUGAGAGGGCGGUCGGCCACACUGGAACUGAGACACGGUCCAGACUCCUACGGGAGGCAGCAGUGGGGAAUUGUUCGCAAUGGGCGCAAGCCUGACGACGCAACGCCGCGUGGAGGAUGAAGGUCUUCGGAUUGUAAACUCCUGUUGAUCGGGAAGAACUUCCCUUGGGUCAAUACCCCGAGGGAUUGACGGUACCGGUUGAGGAAGCCCCGGCUAACUCUGUGCCAGCAGCCGCGGUAAUACAGAGGGGGCAAGCGUUGUUCGGAAUUACUGGGCGUAAAGGGCGCGUAGGCGGCCACCUAAGUCGGACGUGAAAUCCCUCGGCUCAACCGAGGAACUGCGUCUGAUACUGGGUGGCUUGAGUUCGGGAGAGGGAUGUGGAAUUCCAGGUGUAGCGGUGAAAUGCGUAGAUAUCUGGAGGAACAUCUGUGGCGAAGGCGGCAUCCUGGACCGACACUGAC
rnacentral:rRNA from 1 species